rnacentral:sRNA from 2 species
GCGAUGUGUGGCUAGGGUUCCGGUCUCUUUUGAGAUGUCUGGUCCGAGAGCUGCCGGCACCGCUCAGGCGGGGCUCCACGGAGGGACAAAAGCCCGGGAGAA